GGCAACCUCAUGGAGCCAUGGUGUCCUUCACUGCUGCAGUUGCACAAGAGAGGAAUGAGAUUCUGUACUAUUUAAGGCAUGCUAUGUCAGGUGCCUUUGUAACAGCAACUAUACCCAGCUUAUACUCCAACCAAAAAAACAUUGGGGUUCUGUCUGGUUCUGCUAACCUGGGCCUCUGCCUACCUAGAAGCCCUCCCUACAGCCUGUGCCUGGGUCCUGGCUCCUGCUGAUCUACCUCCCCAGGGUAAAUGGCCCUCUUCCUGGAUUUCUGAAUAUCACCCACUCCAGGAUUAUUGACUCUCAUACUUUGUCUUUUGGGACAUCUCCACUGCUCUGUGUGGAGCUGCCCGACCCGGACUCCUUGCGCACUACCAAAGUUGGUUUCACAACCGCACUUCCAGAGAUCAAUCUCUACUUUCCCUGCUCCUUCUACUGGUCGUGUCUCCCCGGAGCCCGUCCACUCCAGGAGGAAAAUUUGCUUCCAGGUCCUGACUCCUCCUUGUCCAUCCUGUCCUGUAGCCACUAGCUAGACCACGCCUGGCUAUGUUCUGAGAUACGUGGGGGGAGGGGUGCCUGGCCCCUGGCAGGAAGCACACCGUCUAACUGCCAAGUCUUCCCUGACACCUUCCCCUGCUGACCCCAAGGCUGCCUGGAGUUUCUGCUUUCCACGCACACCAGCAAAUGACUACGCCGGCUUUUUGUAAGAGAUGCAUCUCAUCUCGUCGUUUGGCAGUUUACGCUUAUGUUUGUUUUCCUUCACACAGUUUUACGGUUGAUAAUGUAUCAUCAGAUAGGAUGUUGGCCCGAGGACAUAUACGGUUUCAGGAACACACAUUUCACAUUUGCCGAAGCACACGGGCCUAGCUUCAGAGCAUCUUAGAAGACUGAUGUUCUGCCAAAUAUGCUGACAUACUUUAGGCAAUACUGGCCUAAUCUCUACCUAACAACCCGCUUGGAUUGAAUUGCCUGCACUGACUGUUACUGGAGUUCAUGAUGGAGCUGCAAUAGGAAACUAACACAAAGCAAUAGAAUUGGGCAGAGUUGUGCCGUGUAAUAUCUAAAGUAGGGCCUUAAGGGAUCUGCAGUUUCUAAUUUCAUCCCUCUGAAGACGGAUGUCACGUAGAAGUCCAUUAUGGCUAGUCACCAUGCUGUGAGGAAGCUCAAGCUAGCCAGAUGGAGAAGCACCAAGACGCUAGACAUGAAAGUGAAGCCUUGUGGGUUCUUCUAGCCCAGUCCAGCCACCAACUGAAUACACCUGAGUAAAUGACCCCAGCUGACACCUGUGGAGCAGAACCACCCAGCUGAGCCUGCCUCAGAACUGUGAGAAAGGUUAUUUUAAGUCACUAAGUUUUAAAGUUUGGGGUUUUUGUUGUUGUUGUUCUUUGUUUGUUUCAGGGGUUUUUUGUGUGUGCAAUAGAUAACCAAAACUCUUAGAAAGCACUUAGAACAGUGUCUAUCACAUAAUAAGCAUUCAAUAAAAGUUGAUUAUUCAUUAUACUAAUUUAGUUAUACAUACAGAAACUUCUCAAUUAUCCUGUUAAACAGGCCUCCUAGUCCAUUUGGGUUGCUAUGACAAAAAUACCACAGACUGAUAUUUACAAACACACAAAGUUAUUUCUCUCAUUUCUGGAGGCUGGGAAGUCCAAGAUCAAGUCACUCUGUGUGCAGACUCUGUGUCUGGUGAGGACUGGCUUCCUGGUUUGUGGAUAGCUAUUAUUUCGUUUUGUCCUUACAUAACAGAAGGGAGCUCUCUGGGGGUCUCUUGGGUCCCUUUCAUAAGGGCGUGAGGGCUCCACCCUCAUGACCUAAACACUUCCCAAAGGUCUCCCCUCCAAAUGGUAAUUAGGUUUCAACAAACAAAUGAAUUCUGGGAGAACACAGGCAUUCAGUCUAUAGCCUCAGGUAUUAUGCCAUCUGUGUUGAUAGUUGGGAUUAUGGUUGUGUUCACUCCCUUUCCCCUCUCGCUGUGAGCAGAGGGUACUCUCAUGCCACUGAUGCUGGGUCUUCUGGCUUGUUUUGGCCAAUGGGAUGUUAGCAGAUGUGACACCUGCAGAGGCUUUACAUGUGCCUACACAGUGGGGCUUCCCUACUUGGCCUUCCACCAUUGCCCUAAGAAGAUGCCCAGGAGGUCUGUGGUCCUCAAAGAGCAAGAUGUAUGUGGAGCAGAGCCACCCAGGCACCCCGCAGACCUGGGAGCCUGGUAACGCAUGCUCGUUGUUUUGUGCCUCUGAGGUCUGGGGUAGUUUUCAUGCAGCCGUAGCUGACUAACAAACAGUCUCUAGGUGAGAAAAUUGAGGCCCAGGGAGCUUUGUUUAAAAACAAGACAAAGCCUAUGGACAUGUUCAUAAUAAAAGAAGCUUUUUAUUUAAAGAGCCAAAUGAGAUCCCUUUGCUGGUUUCCUAGAGCUGUCAGAACAAAUUACCACAAACUGGUGACUCCAAACAACAGAAAUUGAUUCUCUCACAGUUCUAGAGGCUAGCAGUCCAAAAUUAAGGUGUCAGCAGUCCACGCUUCUCCUGAAGACUCCGGGGGAGAAUCCUCCCUUGCCUCUUCCAGCUUCUGGUGGUCCCAGCAAUCCUUGGUGUUUCUUGACUUGGAGAUGCCUCACUCCAAUCUCUGCCUCUGUCAGCACAUGGCUUUCUUCCUCACCUGUGUCCCUGUGUGAUUUCUCCCUCUCCUUUCUCUUAGGCAAACACCAGUCAUGGGAUUCAGAGCCCACCCAAAUUCAGGAUGACCUCAUCUUAAAUAAUUACAUCUACAAAGACCCUGUUUCCAAAUAAUGUCACAUUCGGAGGUUGUUGGGUGGACGUGAAUUUUGUGGGAACACCAUUCAAUCCAGAGCAGUCCCCCUAUUUAAUCCUAGAAAACUAGGAAUAUCAUUAGACAGACCAUGCUCAAAUGAGAGCUUCAGGCAAAAAUCCAGAGGGCGAGUAGCUCAAACCUUGAGGGAAACAGGUGGGAGAGACCUCAGGAAGGUAAGACUGAAACUCCACUUAGACAUUUCAUACAUCUCUGACUGUUUGGGAGCUAUGAAGGAUGCCUUUGAAAGCUAGUGCUCUUAAGCUAACCAUGAAGGUGAGCAUUGCUCGCUUUGAGUACAACUCUCAAGCCAUUUUAGAAGCCCACAUGAUGAGGCACCCUUUUCUAUCCACUGCUUUUCCUGUCCGUGCCUUCUGUGAUGUGCCUCUAUCCUGAUGAGCCCCCUCCCUGGAGGUGGGGAGCCCCUGGACACCAUCUCUCUAAUUCUUGCUCUCCUCUGGGAGAUUUAUUACAGAGGAAUGUAUUUCAGAAGUUUGGGAAAACAAACGCACCCACGUGACCCUUGGCAAAACUACUUUCGAGAAUCUACAAUCUGGCUAUUUCAAAAUCAAAUCUGUGUGUGGACAAGACAAAGCUUGCAAUCCUCAGCUAAUCCAUUGGGCAUCCCAAGUUCAAAAGUAGAAAACACCACUUCCUGGGCUAGUUGAUCCAAAUACAAAACAGAAUGUAAAAUGUUAUUACUAUCAGGAGUCCUACUGGGCUCUGAGGUCAAGCAGACCUGGGUUCAAAUCCCAUUUCGACUAUUAAGCAAUGAUGAAACCUUGAUAUGUACUUGCUCUGAGCCUCAGUUUGAAAAUCUACAGAAUGGUUCUAAUACUCAGGCCAGAGGGUUGCUGCGAGGAUUAAUUGAAAGAGUAAACUGUGAAGUGCCUGGAAAAAUGCAGGGUGUGUAGCAGGUCCUCAGGGGUAAAUUGUUCAGGUCUGUUGUUCUUAUC